rnacentral:rRNA from 1 species
AGAGUUUGAUCCUGGCUCAGAACGAACGCUGGCGGCAGGCUUAACACAUGCAAGUUGAACGGGAUUUGUAUGGUGCUUGCACCAUGUAAUGAGAGUAGCGCACUGGUGAGUAACACGUGGGAACAUACCUUGAAGUGGGGGACAACAGUUGGAAACGACUGCUAAUACCGCAUACGCCCUGAGGGGGAAAGAUUUAUUGCUAAGAGGUCGGCCCGCGGUAGAUUAGGCAGUUGGUGGGGUAAAGGCCUACCAAACCUACGAUCUAUAGCUGGUCUGAGAGGACGAUCAGCCACAUUGGAACUGAGACACGGUCCAGACUCCUACGGGAGGCAGCAGUGAGGAAUAUUGGGCAAUGGAGGAAACUCUGACCCAGCCAUGCCGCGUGAGUGAAGAAGGUUUUCGAAUUGUAAAGCUCUUUCGGAUGGGACGAUGAUGACGGUACCAUCUAAAGAAGCCCCGGCAAACUUCGUGCCAGCAGCCGCGGUAAUACGAAGGGGGCAAGCGUUGUUCGGAAUUACUGGGCGUAAAGGGUGUGUAGGCGGAUUUGUAAGAUAGUGGUGAAAUACCUGAGCUCAACUUAGGAAUUGCCAUUAUAACUAUAGAUCUGGAGUGACAGAGAGGAUAUUGGAAUACCCAGUGUAGAGGUGAAAUUCGUAGAUAUUGGGUAGAACACCAGUGGCGAAGGCGAGUAUCUGGCUGUCAACUGACGCUGAGGCACGAAAGCAUGGGGAUCAAACAGGAUUAGAUACCCUGGUAGUCCAUGCUGUAAACGAUGAAUGCUAGUUGUCGGCAAAAGCCGGUGACGCAGUUAACGCGAUAAGCAUUCCGCCUGGGGAGUACGGUCGCAAGAUUAAAACUCAAAGGAAUUGACGGGGACCCGCACAAGCGGUGGAGCAUGUGGUUUAAUUCGAU